GAGUUUGAUCCUGGCUCAGAACGUACGCUGGCGGCACGCCUAACACAUGCAAGUCGAACGAAGUAGCAAUACUUAGUGGCAGACGGGUGAGUAACAUGUAGGUAUCUGCCCUUUGGCCUGGAAUGACACGAGGAAACUUGUGCUAAUACCGGAUAAGUCUUUACGGAGAAAGCUUUAUGCACCAUUGGAUGAGCCUGCACUUGAUUAGUUUGUUGGUGGGGUAAUGGCCUACCAAGACUGUGAUCAAUAGCUGAUUUGAGAGGAUGAUCAGCCACAUUGGGACUGAGACACGGCCCAAACUCCUACGGGAGGCAGCAGUGGGGAAUCUUGCACAAUGGAGGAGACUCUGAUGCAGCGAUGCCGCGUGAGUGAAGAAGGCCCUUGGGUUGUAAAGCUCUUUCGUCGGGGAAGAAAAUGACUGUACCCGAAUAAGAAGGUCCGGCUAACUUCGUGCCAGCAGCCGCGGUAAUACGAAGGGACCUAGCGUAGUUCGGAAUUACUGGGCUUAAAGAGUUCGUAGGUGGUUGAAAAAGUUAGUGGUGAAAUCCCAGAGCUUAACUCUGGAACUGCCAUUAAAACUUUUCAGCUAGAGUAUGAUAGAGGAAAGCAGAAUUUCUAGUGUAGAGGUGAAAUUCGUAGAUAUUAGAAAGAAUACCAAUUGCGAAGGCAGCUUUCUGGAUCAUUACUGACACUGAGGAACGAAAGCAUGGGUAGCGAAGAGGAUUAGAUACCCUCGUAGUCCAUGCCGUAAACAAUGUGUGUUAGACGUUGGAAAUUUAUUUCAGUGUC
rnacentral:rRNA from 1 species